GGACCGGCCCACUUGUGGGGGAUAACGGUGCGAAAGCGCUGCUAAUCCCGCAUACGCUCUGCGGAGGAAAGCGUGGCAACACGCGCAAGUGGACGGGCGUGCGGCCCAUCAGGUUGUUGGUGUGGUAACGGCGCACCAAGCCGGUGACGGGUCGUUGGUCUGUGAGGACGACCAGCCAGACUGGGACUGAGAACGGCCCAGACUCCUACGGGAGGCAGCAGCAAGGAAUUUUCCCCAAUGGGCGCAAGCCUGAGGGAGCAACGCCGCGUGCGGGAUGACGGCCUUCGGGUUGUAAACCGCUUUUCGGUGGGAUGAUACUGACAGUACCACCGGAAUAGGCCCCGGCUAACUCUGUGCCAGCAGCCGCGGUAAGACAGAGGGGGCAAGCGUUGUCCGGAUUAACUGGGCGUAAAGGGCCCGCAGGUGGUGCCGCAAGUGGUGAUUGAAAUCCGUUGGCUUAACCAACGGGCGCAUCGCCCGACUGCGGCACUCGAGCCAUGCAGAGGUGUGUGGAAUUGCCGGUGUAGUGGUGAAAUGCGUAGAGAUCGGCAGGAACACCAGGGGGGAAGCCAGCACACUGGGCAUUGGCUGACACUCAGGGGCGAUAGCGUGGGGAGCGAACCGGAUUAGAUACCCGGGUAGUCCACGCCGUAAACGAUGGAUGCUCGGCGUGUGGCGGCUAUCAACGCGGCUGCGCGCCUAAGUUAACACGCAAGCAUCCCGCCUGGGAACUACGAGCGCAAGCUUAAAACUCAAAGGAAUUGACGGAAUCGA
rnacentral:rRNA from 1 species